rnacentral:rRNA from 1 species
CUACGGGGCGCAGCAGUGAGGAAUAUUGCACAAUGGGGGGAACCCUGAUGCAGCAACGCCGCGUGGAGGAUGACGCAUUUCGGUGUGUAAACUCCUUUUAUAUGUCAAGAAAAUGACGGUAGCAUAUGAAUAAGCACCGGCUAACUCCGUGCCAGCAGCCGCGGUAAUAGCGGAGGGUGCAAGCGUUACUCGGAAUCACUGGGCGUAAAGGACGCGUAGGCGGGUUGGAAAGUCAGGUGUGAAAUCCUACAGCUUAACUGUAGAACUGCACUUGAAACUUCUAAUCUAGAGUAUGGGAGGGGGAGAUGGAAUUAGUGGUGUAGGGGUAAAAUCCGUAGAUAUCACUAGGAAUACCUAAAGCGAAGGCGAUCUCCUGGAACAUUACUGACGCUAAGGCGUGAAAGCGUGGGGAGCAAACAGGAUUAGAUACCCUAGUAGUC